rnacentral:rRNA from 1 species
UUCCGGUUGAUCCUGCCGGACCUGACUGCUAUCGGAUUGAUACUAAGCCAUGCGAGUCAUUGUAGCAAUACAAGGCAGACGGCUCAGUAACGCGUAGUCAACCUACCCUAUGGACGGGGAUAACCUCGGGAAACUGAGAAUAAUACCCGAUAGAACAUUAUACCUGGAAUGGUUUAUGUUUCAAAUAAUUUAUUGCCGUAGGAUGGGACUGCGGCCUAUCAGUUUGUUGGUGAGGUAAUGGCCCACCAAGACUAUUACAGGUACGGGCUCUGAGAGGAGUAGCCCGGAGAUGGGUACUGAGACACGGACCCAGGCCCUAUGGGGCGCAGCAGGCGAGAAAACUUUGCAAUGUGCGAAAGCACGACAAGGUUAAUCCGAGUGGUUUCUGCUAAAGGAACCUUUUGUUAGUCAUAGAACCACUAAUGAAUAAGGGGUGGGCAAGUUCUGGUGUCAGCCGCCGCGGUAAAACCAGCACCUCAAGUGGUCAGGAUGAUUAUUGGGCCUAAAGCAUCCGUAGCCUGCUUUGUUAGUUUUCGGUUAAAUCCAUACGCUCAACGUAUGGGCUGCCGGGAAUACUGCAAAGCUAGGGAGUGGGAGAGGUAGACGGUACUCGGUAGGAAGGGGUAAAAUCCUUUGAUCUAUUGAUGACCACCUGUGGCGAAGGCGGUCUACCAGAACACGUCCGACGGUGAGGGAUGAAGCUGGGGGAGCAAACCGGAUUAGAUACCCGGGUAGUCCCAGCUGUAAACUAUGCAACUCGGUGAUGCAUUGGCUUGAUGCCAAUGCAGUGCCGCAGGGAAGCCGUUAAGUUUGCCGCCUGGGAAGUACGUACGCAAGUAUGAAACUUAAAGGAAUUGGCGGGGGAGCACCACAAGGGGUGAAGCCUGCGGUUCAAUUGGAGUCAACGCCGGAA